rnacentral:lncRNA from 1 species
AUGCACAACCGCCGGUGAUCAAGUCUUUCAUUAAUAUAACUCACCUUUUUUCGUGUAAAUCCGAAUAUUUUUGAAUAUGGAUUAUUUAAAUAUUCAAUUUUAAGGCAACUAAUCCUCCUGUCGAAACAAUUAGCAGGAUCUUACUCAAACAAGCCUCCUUAUCUUAGUGAACAUUUUUUUAUUAAUUGCGAGCAAUUUUAAAUUCUGGAAUAGCAUCUGCUUCUAGGUUGACAAAAACUUGUCUGGCAGUUGCAUACGUUUCAAUCCCUGCUUUUCUUUCUCUAACACGGUCUUUUGGAGACUCGCAGGCAGCAUUUGGGAAAACAGCUCUGAAUGUGUUUGGACUUCUGACAUACCUGAUGCUUGGGCUUGGAGUGGUAUGCUCCUUUUUUCCUUGGAAUUGCUGAACUUUUGGUAUCAUAUCGUAUAUGAACAGACUCUAAAUGGAAUGCAUUUGGACUUCUGACAUACCUGAUGCUUGGGCUUGGAGUGGUAUGCUCCUUUUUUCCUUGGAAUUGCUGAACUUUUGGUAUCAUAUCGUAUAUGAACAGACUCUAAAUGGAAUGCAUUCUGAAUUUAUGUAUCAUCUCUUAUUCACCGUUGCAUUGAAUGUAUCCAAAG